rnacentral:rRNA from 1 species
GACGAACGCUGGCGGCGUGCUUAACACAUGCAAGUCGAACGGAAAGGCCCUCACCUUGGUGGGGGUGCUCGAGUGGCGAACGGGUGAGUAACACGUGGGUGAUCUGCCCUGUACUUCGGGAUAAGCUUGGGAAACUGGGUCUAAUACCGGAUAGGACCAUGGUUUAGUGUCUCAUGGUGGAAAAAUUAUUGUUUUGGUGCAGGAUGAGCUCGCGGCCUAUCAGCUUGUUGGUGGGGUAAUGGCCUACCAAGGCGUCGACGGGUAGCCGGCCUGAGAGGGUGGACGGCCACAUUGGGACUGAGAUACGGCCCAGACUCCUACGGGAGGCAGCAGUGGGGAAUAUUGCACAAUGGGCGCAAGCCUGAUGCAGCGACGCCGCGUGGGGGAUGACGGCCUCCGGGUUGUAAACUCCUUUCGUUAGGGACGAAGCCACACUUUUUUUGGGUGUGGUGACGGUACCUUUGUUAAGAAGCACCGGCUAACUACGUGCCAGCAGCCGCGGUAAUACGUAGGGUGCGAGCGUUGUCCGGAAUUACUGGGCGUAAAGAGCUCGUAGGUGGUUUGUUGCGUCGUCUGUGAAAUUCCGGGGCUUAACUUCGGGGUGGCAGGCGAUACGGGCAUAACUAGAGUGCUGUAGGGGAGACUGGAAUUCCUGGUGUAGCGGUGGAAUGCGCAGAUAUCAGGAGGAACACCGAUGGCGAAGGCAGGUCUCUGGGCAGUAACUGACGCUGAGGAGCGAAAGCAUGGGGAGCGAACAGGAUUAGAUACCCUGGUAGUCCAUGCUGUAAACGGUGGGCGUUAGGUGUGGGGACCGGUUUGGUUUCUGUGCCGUAGCUAACGCAUUAAGCGCCCCGCCUGGGGAGUACGGCCGCAAGGCUAAAACUCAAAGGAAUUGACGGGGGCCCGCACAAGCGGCGGAGCAUGUGGAUUAAUUCGAUGCAACGCGAAGAACCUUACCUGGGUUUGACAUGCACCAGACGGUUGUAGAGAUGCGUACCUCCCUUUGUGGUUGGUGUGCAGGUGGUGCAUGGUUGUCGUCAGCUCGUGUCGUGAGAUGUUGGGUUAAGUCCCGCAACGAGCGCAACCCUUGUCUUAUGUUGCCAGCACGUUUGGGUGGGGACUCAUGAGAGACUGCCGGGGUUAACUCGGAGGAAGGUGGGGAUGACGUCAAAUCAUCAUGCCCUUUAUGCCCAGGGCUUCACACAUGCUACAAUGGUUGGUACAACGCGCGGCGAGCCUGUGAGGGUGAGCGAAUCGCUGAAAGCUAAUCUCAGUUCGGAUUGGGGUCUGCAACUCGACCCCAUGAAGUCGGAGUCGCUAGUAAUCGCAGAUCAGCAAUGCUGCGGUGAAUACGUUCCCGGGCCU